GCGAUUGUGGCGAAGUGGUUAACGCACCGGAUUGUGGCUCCGGCACUCGUGGGUUCGAUUCCCAUCAGUCGCCC
rnacentral:tRNA from 2 species